AUUGAACGCUGGCGGCAUGCCUUACACAUGCAAGUCGAACGGCAGCACGGACUUCGGUCUGGUGGCGAGUGGCGAACGGGUGAGUAAUGUAUCGGAACGUACCUUUCAGUGGGGGAUAACGUAGCGAAAGUUACGCUAAUACCGCAUAUUCUGUGAGCAGGAAAGCAGGGGAUCGAAAGACCUUGCGCUGAUUGAGCGGCCGAUAUCAGAUUAGCUAGUUGGUGGGGUAAAGGCCUACCAAGACGACGAUCUGUAGCGGGUCUGAGAGGAUGAUCCGCCACACUGGAACUGAGACACGGUCCAGACUCCUACGGGAGGCAGCAGUGGGGAAUUUUGGACAAUGGGGGCAACCCUGAUCCAGCCAUGCCGCGUGAGUGAAGAAGGCCUUCGGGUUGUAAAGCUCUUUCGGCCGGGAAGAAAUCGCAUAGGCUAAUACCCUGUGUGGAUGACGGUACCGGAAUAAGAAGCACCGGCUAACUACGUG
rnacentral:rRNA from 1 species